CCAUCACCUUUAACAGGCAGACACAGCUCAUAAGGAACAUCAACGGGGAAAAUGAAACUUUGCGAGUCAGAUGACGAAAUGCUGAGGAGGAGGAACCCGAGGGACGGGAUCUCUCCGCAACAGGCACCGCAACAACAAGAAGGAAAUGCUUCAGUCCUGUGGAUGGCGCUGAGAGAGGAGGAAAACUCGCAUACUUCGUCUGUCCCUCUGUCAAAUAGAGAUCCUCUCAGAAAUCAACAUUCAACGUUCAGCGUUUCACUGUGGAUUCACUUGUCACCAAGCUGCUGUUUUCACUCACUUUGUGUCCGCGCUGUCGAGUCGCUGUCUCUGUCUGAAGACACGGAGGUGGAUUGAACACACUACUGCGCACCUUGUCCGUGUUUUUGGGACUGUUUGCUGGAGUCGACGGAAGAUCAGACGCUCUUUAUUACAUUUUUUUGUUUUGUUUUUGUGUUUUGUUGAGUUUUCGGAAGAUUUCCAUUUUUCAUGUUUCGGAUUCAGAUAUAGCGACAUUCAACAAUUCAGGAAAUUGUCUUCAUGUGUACCCAAUGUGCUAUUGUGUCUCCCCAUUCUCAUUAAAGUCCACAUCUUAACUCUGCUGUUUUCAAAUUGUCAUAGCCUGUUGUUUAACAUGUUCUUUCAUGACAAAUGCGAAUACAAGCAUUACACUUGAUAACACACCCUUUUCCAGCUUCAUUGUGUCUUAUAAUUACAUCUAACGUGUGUAUUUAAAGAUUUGUGAUUGCUUUUUAAUCAUGAAGCCGAAUAAAAACAGCGGUAACCGAAUAAAAAGCUGCUGUGACAGAGGAAACUCUCCUCCAGCACAUGAGGUAUGCGUGCCCUCUUGAUGGCACAGAGGCUCACAGCCAAAGAAGCAAAGAAACUAAUUCUAAAUACUAGUGGGAAAUGUUGAGUUCUGGCCUGUGUUGUGUUUUUAAUAAUUUGUUGUUGGAUCUGAGCUCAUAAUCAGCCCGUGGAAGCCUUCUGUGGGCCGUGCGUAAAAGUGUCUGCUGUUGAUUCAUACCCCGGCAUUCUUACGUGUAUGAUUCAUCGUGCCAAGGACGGGCACAGCACAGUGAAGGCGUAUAGAGGAACAUCCCAUGGCUCUUUUUCUCUGCUAGAACCCGUCUGCAUUAGAGAAAGGAAGGCGGAGUGACUUUGGCUUCUGCACCGUGAUUAGACAGUGGAGCCAGUGGCGCACUAGAGCCGGUGCUCUGAAUCCGACACUAAAACUGUCUCUCUAACAGAGAAAAACAUUUUCAGAUUGAAGAUGUUUCGGGGUACACCGAAAAUCCAAAACCCGAGUAUCCAUAACCCGAGUAUCCAUAACCCGACGUUUGUUCUAUUAAAAGUGAAGUCAUCAGUCAUUAUGAAGCCAGAAGGAACUCUGAUCUCUAACUAUGGGUGCAGUCAGCACAAGAAUAACUGGGACGCUGCAGCAGACACUGUUGACUGUCCGGGAUGCCAUCUCUCGGGUUCACAUUCAGGCCGGUUACGCGGAGCCUGAUGGGCAGGUUGUCACCAUCACCUUUAACAGGCAGACACUCGCUGUGAUAUCCAUCGAAAGACUGCUGAUGGUCUUAUUGAACAUCAACGGGGAAGAGCAGCAGUGAUCACAGCUCAUAAGGAACAUCAACGGGGAAAAUGAGACUUUGCGGAGUCAGAUGACGAAAUGCUGAGGAGGAGGAACCCGAGGGACGGGAUCUCUCCGCAACAGGCACCGCAACAACAAGAAGGAAAUGCUUCAGUCCUGUGGAUGGCGCUGAGAGAGGAGGAAAACUUGCAUACUUCGUCUGUCCCUCUGUCAAAUAGAGAUCCUCUCAGAAAUCAACAUUCAACGUUCAGCGUUUCACUGGAAGCGGUGCUGUGGAUUCACUUGUCACCAAGCUGCUGUUUUCACUCACUUUGUGUCCGCGCUGUCGAGUCGCUGUCCCUGUCUGAAGACACGGAGGUGGAUUGAACACACUACUGCGCACCUUGUCCGUGUUUUUGGGACUGUUUGCUGGAGUCGACAGAAGAUCAGACGCUCUGAAAAAAUCGGAAAAAACUGAACAUUUCUCCCUCCAUUCGAGGUUGGGUUGAGGAUUUAAUUUGAGUAUUAUAGAGAGAUCACAGAUAUUUUAUUACAUUUUUUUUGUUUUGUUGAGUUUUCGGAAGAUUUCCAUUUUUCAUGUUUCGGAUUCAGAUAUAGCGACAUUCAACAAUUCAGAAAAUUGUGUUCAUGUGUACCCACUGUGCUAUUGUGUCUCCCCAUUCUCAUUAAAGUCCACAUCUUAA